GACGAACGCUGGCGGCGUGCUUAACACAUGCAAGUCGAACGGUGAAGGGACCGGUUUUUGCUGGUUCUGGAUGAGUGGCGACCGGGUGAGUAACACGUGAGUAACCUGCCCCCCUCUUCUGGAUAACCGCAUGAAAGUGUGGCUAAUACGGGAUAUUCUGCGCCUGCUGCAUGGGGGGUGUGGGAAAGAUAUUGUUUCGGUGGGGGAUGGGCUCGCGGCCUAUCAGCUUGUUGGUGGGGUGAUGGCCUACCAAGGCGGUGACGGGUAGCCGGCCUGAGAGGGUGGACGGUCACACUGGGACUGAGACACGGCCCAGACUCCUACGGGAGGCAGCAGUGGGGAAUAUUGCACAAUGGGCGCAAGCCUGAUGCAGCGACGCCGCGUGAGGGAUGGAGGCCUUCGGGUUGUAAACCUCUUUCGCCAGUGAAGCAGGCCUGUCCCUUUUGUGGGUGGGUUGACGGUAGCUGGAUAAGAAGCGCCGGCUAACUACGUG
rnacentral:rRNA from 1 species